rnacentral:rRNA from 1 species
GACGAACGCUGGCGGCGUGCUUAACACAUGCAAGUCGAACGGAAAGGCCCUGCUUUUGUGGGGUGCUCGAGUGUCGAACGGGUGAGUAACACGUGAGUAACCUGCCCUUGACUUUGGGAUAACUUCAGGAAACUGGGGCUAAUACCGGAUAGGAGCUCCUGCUGCAUGGUGGGGGUUGGAAAGUUUCGGCGGUUGGGGAUGGACUCGCGGCUUAUCAGCUUGUUUGUGUGGUAGUGGCUUACCAAUGCUUUGACGGGUAGCCGUCCUGAGAGGGUGACCGGACACAUUGGGACGGAGAUAAGGCACAGACUCCUACGGGAGGCAGCAGUGGGGAAGAUUGCACAAUGGGCGGAAGCCUGAUGCAGCAACGCAGCGUGCGGGAUGACGGCAUUCGGGUUGUAAACCGAUUUCGCCUGUGACGAAGCGUGAGUGACGGUAAUGGGUAAAGAAGCACCGGCUAACUACGUG